rnacentral:rRNA from 1 species
AGAGUUUGAUCCUGGUUAGAAGGAACGCUGGCGGCGGGUUUAGGCAUGCAAGGCGCAUCAUGAAAGCCGCAAGGUGAGGUAAAGGGCGAAGGGUGACCGCUAGUAGCUGACAUAUCCUUUGGACGCGGAUAAUUUCCCGAAAGGGAUUGUAUUUACCGAUGAGACCACGGCCUUCACGGAGGCAGGGGUCAAAAGCUGGGGAUCCUUCGGGACCUGGCGGCCAGAGGAGUGGGCGACCUCCGAUUAGCUAGUUGGCGGGGUAACGGCCCACCAAGGCGAUGAUCGGUAGCCGGGCUGAGAGGCUGUCCGGCCACACGGGCACUGAGACACUGGCCCGACUCCUACGGGAGGCUGCAGUCGCGAAUUUUUCUCAAUGGGCGCAAGCCUGAAGAAGCCAUGCCGCGUGCGGGACGAAGGCCCUCUGGGUUGUAAACCGCUGUCAGGGAAGGGGAAACGCUGCGCAUUAAUCGUGCGUAGUUUGACUGCUUUCCAAAGGAAGCCCCGGCAAAACAUGUGCCAGCAGCCGCGGUAAUACAUGUGGGGCAAGCGUUGUUCGGAAUCACUGGGCAUAAAGGGUGCGUAGGCGGUAAUGUACGUCCGGGGUGAAAACCCAUGGCCCAACCAUGGAUCGGCCUUGGAUACGGCAUUACUUGAGUGCGUGAGGGGUGAUCGGAACGCGUGGUGUAGCGGUGAAAUGCGUAGAUAUCACGCGGAAAGGCCAACGGCGAAAGCAGAUCACUGGCACGCAACUGACGCCUGAGUGCACGAAAGCGUGGGGGACCAAACCAGGAUUAGAUACCCUGGUAGUCCACGCCG